rnacentral:miRNA from 1 species
CACAUUACAUGGUCGACCUCU